rnacentral:rRNA from 1 species
GAUGAACGCUGGCGGCGUGCCUAAUACAUGCAAGUCGAGCGAACAGACGAGGAGCUUGCUCCUCUGACGUUAGCGGCGGACGGGUGAGUAACACGUGGAUAACCUACCUAUAAGACUGGGAUAACUUCGGGAAACCGGAGCUAAUACCGGAUAAUAUAUUGAACCGCAUGGUUCAAUAGUGAAAGACGGUUUUGCUGUCACUUAUAGAUGGAUCCGCGCCGCAUUAGCUAGUUGGUAAGGUAACGGCUUACCAAGGCAACGAUGCGUAGCCGACCUGAGAGGGUGAUCGGUCACACUGGAACUGAGACACGGUCCAGACUCCUACGGGAGGCAGCAGUAGGGAAUCUUCCGCAAUGGGCGAAAGCCUGACGGAGCAACGCCGCGUGAGUGAUGAAGGUCUUCGGAUCGUAAAACUCUGUUAUUAGGGAAGAACAAAUGUGUAAGUAACUAUGCACGUCUUGACGGUACCUAAUCAGAAAGCCACGGCUAACUACGUG